rnacentral:snRNA from 1 species
AUCUUUGCGCUUGGGGCCAUGACGCAGUUAGUGAAGUGAAACCUAGACGCGUCGAUUGCUGGUUAAAAACUAUUUCCAAACUAUAGCAUGGAUGAACAACGCUCGAUAAAGGAUAAACUCUCCCUUCUUGGGCUCUUCCAAUGCAAAGCUUUACAUUAUAAUUGU